rnacentral:rRNA from 1 species
UACGUAGGGGGCGUAGCGUUGUCCGGAUUUAUUGGGCGUAAAGAGCGUGUAGGCGGCCAGAUAGGUCUGCUGUGAAAACUCGAGGCUCAACCUCGAGCUGUCGGCGGAAACCAUUUGGCUAGAGUCCGGAAGAGGAGAGUGGAAUUCCUGGUGUAGCGGUGAAAUUCGUAGAUAUUAGGAAGAACACCGGUGGCGAAGGCGGCCCACUGGUCCGGUACUGACGCUGAGGUGCGAAAGCGUGGGGAGCAAACAGG